GCUCGGCUGGUCUAGUGGUAUGAUUCUCGCUUAGGGUGCGAGAGGUCCCCGGUUCAAACCCGGGGUCGAGCC
rnacentral:tRNA from 1 species